rnacentral:rRNA from 1 species
GACGAACGCUGGCGGCGUGCUUAACACAUGCAAGUCGAACGGGAGUUCGUAAACGGAAGCCUCUUUGGGAGAUUACUAAUGGGAGUGGCGAACGGUUGAGUAACGUGUAAGUAACCUUCCGAUGACAGUGGGAGAGCCUCUGGAAACUAGGAUUAAUACCGCAUGAGAUCGUAGAAACACAUUUUUGACCUGUCAAAGAUUUAUCGGUCAUAGAUGGGUUCGCGUGUGAUUGGCUAGUUGGUGAGAGAACCGGCCACCAAGGCGACGAUCAGUAGACGGUCUGAGAGGAUGAACGGACACAUUGGAAGUGAGACACGGUCCGAACUCCUACGGGAGGCAGCCGUGGGGAAUCUUGCACAAUGGGGGAAACCCUGAUGCAGCGACGCCGGGUGAACGAAGAAGGUAUUAGUAACGUAAAGUUCUGUACUAUGGGAAGAUAAUGACAGUACCAAAGAAGAAAGCACCGGCUAAAUACGUG